ACAAACUUGGUCAUUUAGAGGAAGUAAAAGUCGUAACAAGGUUUCCGUAGGUGAACCUGCGGAAGGAUCAUUACCGAGUUAGGGUCUUCUCAGGCCCGAUCUCCCAACCCUUUGUCGAACUUACCACUUGUUGCUUCGGCGGGCCCGUCCCCUGAGGACCGCCGGGGGGUCGUCAAACGCCCUCUGGCCCGCGCCCGUCGACAGCCUCAACAUUAAACUCUGAACAAAACGUGUCACGAUCUGAGUAUCUAUAAAAAUAAAGCACAAAACUUUCAACAACGGAUCUCUUGGUUCUGGCAUCGAUGAAGAACGCAGC
rnacentral:misc_RNA from 1 species